CUUUGAUCUGACUGGUUUGUCUCGUGUUCACUUGCUGUUUCCUUGCUUAGUUAUCUGAUGCUUAAGAUACAUCCCCAUUACAGUGAUUUACUUCUGCUGUGGGCUAUGUGUUUGACUUUUGUGGGGCUUCUCUAUGGGUCCCCAGCUGGAGCUGUCAUUGCUUCUCAGCUGUUUGCAAUGAGUGCUGCUCUGCAGGUGGCUUAUGCGGGAGGCCCAGAGUAGGUUCCUGCUUGUGGCUAUUGAAUAGAAGUUACUGGGAAUGCUAGGGCUGUCAGCUUUGUGCAGAUCUCUUCCUACGGAGACUGGAGGAAGGAAAUACCAGAAGCCUUGCAAUAUAAUAUGCACAGCUGACCUUUUGUGUCCUGGAUUGCAUCGGAAAGGAAGAAAAUACUUCAAGAUGGAACCAGGGAAGGUCUUCACUUACAGCCAGGAGCAGUUUGGGCCAUAGAAGGGAAUGGACUGACACAAACCUCUCAGAUGUCCAGGGUGGCCCUGCCAGGUCCUGUCAACCGAAGGCUUUGUGGUCUGAGACACUGUGGCAUCGAGUUCCCCGUGCACCAUGGGAAAUCUUCAUAAUGCUUGACUGUAUUAGAGGAUGGAUCUUUGUUACAAUCUCUGCGUUAUAAAUAGAAAAGCAGGCUUAGUAAAUUUACAAAAAUUCAAAGAACUAAAAGUCUGCUGAUAAGAUUUCACAAGACUAAUAGCAACAAAAUAAAUGUUUUACUACUCUAAAAAUUACUGCUUCA
rnacentral:lncRNA from 1 species